rnacentral:misc_RNA from 1 species
AACUUUUGGCAACGGAUCACUUGGUUCUAGCAUCGAUGAAGAACGCAGCGAAAUGCGAUAAGUAAUGUGAAUUGCAGAAUUUAGUGAAUCAUCGAAUCUUUGAACGCACAUUGCGCCCUCUGGUAUUCCAGAGGGCAUGCCUGUUCGAGCGUCAUUACAACCCUCAAGCUCUGCUUGGUAUUGGGUGUUACCUUGACUGGUACCCCUUAAAAUCAGUGGUGGUGUCAUUCAGCUUCAAGCAUAGUAUUACUUUUUGCUUUGGAGGUUGGAUGUGUGCUUGCCAGUAAUGCCUAAUUAUCAAAGGUUGACCUCGGAUCAGGUAGGGAUACCCGCUGAACUUAAGCAUAUCAAUAAGCGGAGGCU